AUUCCGGUUGAUCCUGCCGGACCCGACUGCUAUUUGGGUGAGAAUAAGCCAUGCGAGUUGAAUGGGAUACCUAAAAUUCCCAUAGCAAACUGCUCAGUAACACAUGAUCAACUUACCCUAUGGAGGGAAAUAAUCUCGGGAAACUGAGGAUAAUUUCUCAUAAUUGAAUAGGCUUGGAAAAGUUUUUCAAUCAAAGGAGUAAGAAAAAUGGUUCUUACUUGCCAUAGGAUAGGAUCGUGCUCGAUUAUGGUUGUUGGUGAGGUAAUGGCUCACCAAGCCGAUAAUCGAUAGGGGCCGUGAGAGCGGUAGCCCCGAGAUGGGUACUGAGACAACGACCCAGGCCUUACGAGGCGCAGCAGGCGCGAGACCUCCG
rnacentral:rRNA from 1 species